UGAGGAAUAUUGGUCAAUGGGCUGAGGCCUGAACCAGCCAAGUCGCGUGAGGGAAGACGGUCCUAUGGAUUGUAAACCUCUUUUGCCGGGGAGCAAGACGGUCACGAGUGACCUACUGAGAGUACCCGGAGAAAAGCAUCGGCUAACUCCGUGCCAGCAGCCGCGGUAAUACGGAGGAUGCGAGCGUUAUCCGGAUUUAUUGGGUUAAAGGGUGCGUAGGCCGACUGUCAAGUCAGUGGUAAAAUUGAGAGGCUCAACCUCUUCGAGCCAUUGAAACUGGCGGUCUAGAGUGGGCGAGAAGUAUGCGGAAUGCGAGGUGUAGCGGUGAAAUGCAUAGAUAUCACGCAGAACUCCGAUUGCGAAGGCAGCAUACCGGCGCCGACUGACGCUGAGGCACGAAAGCGUGGGUAUCGAACAGGAUUAGAUACC
rnacentral:rRNA from 1 species